AUGAAGCUGUCUAAUGAAAUAAAAACAAGGCACUGAUAGAACAAAUCAUUUUGUUUAAAAAUAGGGUUUUCUUGCAAAGAUAGCUGGGAUAAAGAUUGGACCUCCGUCCGCCCAAUUUUCUCUUUAUAGUCUCUUGUGGUAAUUUAAAAUAUCCAGUUUUUUUUUCAAUAUUAUUUUGGUCUACACAGCGGGUGUCAAACUUGCGGAGUCACAUUGCAUAUCACGAUGUUUUUUCUUCACGGAGCUUGGAUGGGCAUGGCCUCCGUGUGACUCAUCCGGCCUGCAGGCCACCAGUUUGACACCCCUGGUCUACACCAAUCUUUACAUGAGGAAUGCUAAAUUCUACUUUGAAUUUUGCUACGCCGCAUGGGAAAAUAGCAUAAUUUAUCAGGAACUGACAGUAACAUUUAACUUUAUCCACCUCCAAUAAGCAAUAUGCAUUGUACCAUAGACAUUAUAUGGUUGAUUGAAUAGUAAAGAAAAUAUGAAGAUAUUUGGGUGAAAAAAAACUGUUUUAUUGUAGUGACCUUAGUCUAAGUUGCUAUAAUCAAUAUGAACAAAUUCUUAGGAAAAGAUAAUCAAAUUCUGCUUGGUAAAACAUAGUUUAUAUGCUAAAGAAAGGAAAUGAUACAUUUAGGGCACUGAUACCAAUGGUGCACAGGAAUAAACACCAGAAUGAGCCAGAACUUUGUAUUUUUUCUUUUUUUUUCUUUAUCUUACUUGGUUGCUAAAAUUUAUUUAGCUUUUAAUUUAAAAUUGUGCAAUCAUAUAGUUGCCAAUCUCAAAGUAACCAUCAUGUGAAUGCAACAAGAAUUUGCAUUCAUAAUGGGAAUGUUUUUAGGAAUAUGACUAUUCAGAGUUAAAGAAGGGGACUGGAAAAAUCAGUACUCUUGGAAAUGAGUUUGUCAUCAAUGGAACAGGAUUUGAAAAUCUGUUACUUUUCUGCUUUGCGAUAGUUCGUAUUUAGCAAUUUCCUGGUCUGGUGAUCUUUGUAUGUUUGCAGAUAAGACAUCUGUUAGGGCUUGCUUUGCCUUAGCCUGUUGUUUCAGAUUGAUUUUUGGCAAUAAGCACUGUCAGGUCCCAAAUUCCUGACUUCUGUGGUCACUGUUGCUUUAAGGAUCCAAAUAUUUUCUUAGACACUGACCCAAUAUAUAGUUUGACUAUGUCAUAUUGGCCAAGAUCCAAUAACUGGCUGUGUCUGCUGAUAUGCCGGGCCGUUUAUUGCAAAGGAGAUGUCUAUGUUGCCUGAAACUGGUGGACCUCUGCUUGAAUGCCAACAAGAUAAGACAUGAAAAAUGUAACCCAUAUGACUGAUGCAUACUACCUUGCCAAUGGAAAUUAAACAGGAUCAUUAUGAAGCAGCUGACAUUUUUCACUGCUGUUGAAUAAACCAUCAAGGACUGUUUGGUAGCGCUCUGUACAUUUCAAAAAUGAUUUGAAAGACAUGCUUCGGGCCAUGUGCAAUAAACAGGAUCUCUCUACUACUCAUUAAAGCAGGUCAUUUUUUUGAGGGGGGGAUUCAGGCUUCUUCAGGAGUUUAAAGAAGAGAUGCCACUGCUUUAAGGAAAUACUCAUUAAAUGAACAUGAUACUCCAACAAGAUUGCACAGGUUGGGCCUCCUCCGGGUGCCGUCGACCGGACAAUGCCAGCU